ACACUUGUGCACAGUUAUUUUAGCGGACAGUAGUUUCACUGUAUUUUACUACAAAGCAGCUUCACAUCAGCUCAUCUGUCAUUUUAUUACUGAACCAGUUUUGAAGAGUUUGUCUUUUCAUAUUUGUGGACUGAAACCGUUGAAGAUGUUUCAAAGAUUUUCAUUCUGUUUGUGUUUGUGGCGUCUGGUUGAGACAGACUGAAGCUGGACAAUCAAACUGGAUCUCUGACCAUCACAAACAACUGGACAUGCUGGAGAUUAUCAACUACAGAUCAAUGCUUUCAUCACACUUUCUUGCCUAUUCCUGUAAUCAGCACAGACUGGCCUUCAUCAUCAUCAUCAUCAUCAUCAUCAUCAGGACCUUAUCCCAAUCCCAUCAGAAACCACACUCAACAUCUGAACAUCACUCAGUUCUGUCACACAUGUUCAGGAGGCACUACAGAGGCUUUUGUUGGCUUAUUGAAGACAUUUGUGCACUUGAAG